UUUGUUCACAGAGAUGCAACCAUUCUCAUUGUCUUUCCAUAACGAGGGAGAUUUUUAGAUGUCUUUCCUUGAAGAGCAAAACUUUUCUAUAUUAAUAUGGUCUAUUACUUAAUUUUCCAACAAUUGUUACAUAUUUAGUUUGCUUGAAUUGAAUAUUUUAUGUUCGAUACUUGCACAUAGAAGAUAUUCGUCGAAAGAAUCAAUCUUUGACUUUGAGACUUAGUUUUCACUGUUAUUCGAUAUGUUUAAUUGCUUUUCUGCUUUCUGUUUACUUCAUAUUUGGGUCGCUCAUGAAGGUGUUCUUUUCCUGCAAGUAUCUUAUAUUUUCCCUUUUUUACCCCCACCAACUACUGACUAAGCCAAAUUCUCUAUAAAUUUAGGGUCAAUUACAUGAAUUCUUUUUCACUGUUCCGUUCUAUCAUUUGCUACAUCUACUACAAGAUUCAAAGCAAGUAUAUCUUAGCAAAAUAAUUCAUUUUUCUUGUUCUGUUGACAGCUCUCUCUUUUGUUAUCAUUUCCUGUUUCAAGGCUCUAUUGAAUGACAACUUCCUAGUUCAUAGUAAGAUGCAGGGAUAAUCCCAGGCUACAAAUGGGAUGCAGAAGAAUCAGACUACAUGCAUUAAAUGUCGGAACAGGAUCUGGUGGCUAUGGCGAGAGGUAGAACAGUGACAACGAGGGUUACUCUAAUGAUGGACCACAUAGUAAAACCUCAUCUAAAAUAAUGGUUAUCUUAAAUUUUGCUCAUUUUUUAAUAAAAAACUCAAUUAUGACUUAUUUUCUGGAGAAAAAUUUUAUUAUUUGUAUUUAUGUGAUUAUGAACACGCCAUAAUAUUUAAUACGAGUCGAUUUUUAUUUUACUCAUUUUAUCAAUCAUUUAAUUUUUACCUGCUCAGAUUGCAUGUCCAAAUUCAUGCAUGGAAGUGACAAUUCAAGCAUUCUCAUUCACACUUAACAUUCCUUUUCAAAAUUCCCACUUUACGAUGAUGCAAUCAGGAAACAACUAUAAGUCUAAUCAAGCGGAAAGAAUACAAAGAAGUAGAGUUUGAAUUCAUCUAGAUUUUAGUAGUUUUAUUUUUAUGAGUUUGAUAUUAUCAAUGUUAUCUUUUAUUACAAGUUUGUUUAGAUUGGAAGUUUAAUUGGUUUGAAAGUCUUUUCUCUGUAUAAAGGGACUUAGGGAAAGGUUUACAGAAAUUCUUGAAUAUAAGAAUUAAUUGAAUUUCUUCUCUUUUUUGAUUCCCUUUCUCUUCUUGUUUAUUUUCAAAUUGUAGCCUUCCUACAUCAUAUACGGGCUCUACAUUGCUUUCAAUGCUAAACUGAUGAGGACAUCCUUAUAAUUGGACUUUUAUUAUUGUUUCAGUAUUUUAGUUGGACUUUUAUUAUUGUUUCAGUUGGACUUUUAUUUAGGUUUACGUAUUUUAAUUAGGACUUAAACAAUGGGCUUGGCCCUAUAUUUCUAGGUUUUCAUUAUUUACCUAUCAUUGGUUUGUAAUUUCUCAGUUGAUGAAUUGAUUAAGAAUUAUAAAGUUGGCUUGACCGUUUUCUCUCCUCCUCCCCGUUUCUGCCUUCUUCUUCUCUUCUCCUCCCCCUUCCCUUCUUGUUAUUUACUAAUUUAUUAAUCUCCCUACAUCAAAUUGGUAUCAGAGCAAAUCCUGGACAGCAAUUCACGCAGCAUCAAUACAGAAACCGUUGCUGCAGCCAAUACCCAGUUUGCUGCAGAACCCAGUCACUACCUCUAUCUUCUCUGCGUAUGUUCCUGUCAACAAACUCACCCUACAGUCGCUGCAAACUCAACGUGACACCCAUCCGUCGCCGACCACCAUAUUAUCUCCGUUAAAAUCAACAACCUAAACCCAAAUCUCCUUCACCAUGCCAACCGUAACAGCCCAUACAUACACAACCCCCAAACCGACCUCAACUGGUGCCAGCAAUCGCGUCGCCAUACUUAGAAAUCAAACAAGCCCAUACGCAGUAAGUUCUAAGCCGACCCAAAAUCAUCAGUCUUCUUCCCGGCACCAUCUCGAGCCACGCUAGUCACACCUAAAAUCAACAGUCGAUCUUGAGCCUUUCUAACCAUCAACAAACCUAAUAGUAAUAGCUAACUCAGCCACCACCCCUAAAAUCCAGCAGUGCCGCCUCUCGCUCGGUAACCAUCUCUUGGUCGUUUGACGGGAAAGAGGCCAGGCAUCUUUCAGUUUCACCAAUAGUUUCCAAUUUGGGCUUUUCAAUUGGGCUGUGGCUUAGUAUUUUGGCAUUUGUCUUGUGAGAUUGAUUUUCAGUUUUGGGCUCAGCCUUAGUUACUUCUUUGGGCCUAGUAAAAAAGUCCAAAAAAAAAAAAAAAAAGAGUAUCGUGAAUUUUAAUUUUUCUGACAUCAUUUACAGGUUCAUUUUAGUUGACUGUUCAGUACCGCACCUCGACGAGCACGGAAUUUUUAUCUUGGCAUCUCAGGGCUUAGUAGUUCAGAGCGUGGAGGCAUUCGACGCUGGGACGACUCAAACCAACAGUACUCAGGGAGUUCCUGAUCCUAUUUAUUUUUAGUUGACGCUAUUUCUUUAUUUUAGAAUUGCAUCAAUUAAUUCGUUGUGUGCUGGCCAUUUGAUAAUAUUGCCUUCAACCUAUUUGAUUGUAUUUCACGAACUAAAUUCCAUUGAUAUGCACUAGCCCUUUGAUAAUACUGCCUUAAACUUAUUCGAUUAUAUUUCACGAACUAAAUUCCAUUACUCAAUCGUUUACCCCACGUGACUAGACCUAGUUUUUGGACAUUUGCUUUUCUAUUUUAUUAGCAUUAGUAGUAUUAGCUUGCGAUCGAGCCAUAAGUAACCCCAACCUUUAAAUUGACAAAAUAACAAAAAAUAAAUAAAUAAUAAUAAUAAUAAUAAUUUCAAUAACUAAUUUUUCGGUUGGCACUAGUUGAUUGUUGAUUAUUGAUCUCAGUAGUGCACUUUACGUAGUCGUGUGACCGUGUAUGCAAUUGCGUAGUGGUCGCGUUACUGCCUCUAGCUCUAGUAACCUUACCAUGGACCCCGCCCAAAUUGAGGCCCUCACCAGACAGCUUGCACAAUUACAAAAUCAACUAACACCUGUCCAAACUGAGGUAGCCGCUACUCGUGAAGAGAAUAGAGCCCUAACCGCUAGGUUGAAUACUCUUGACCCAAUCCGAUAUUCGACUGAGGCUGAGAACUCUGAGGCUUCCAUUAAUAGGCCUCAUCGUCGCCCACAAGGUGGUCGACACCACGCCCGACAUGGUCGUAGGGACGGGAAUCAGGCUCGGGAACGAGAGCGGGGUAUUAUCGUCAUGGUACACAAUCUCCCCCUCGCCACGAGGAGCGCCUCUUUCGAAACAUUAAGUUGGAUGCCCCUACGUUUGACGGUUGUCUAGAUCCUAGUGCAUUCAAUCAAUGGGUUAGAGAUAUGGAUCGCUUCUUUGCAUGGUAUGGGGUCCCGGAAGAUCGGAGGGUACAAUUUUCCAGUUUGAAGUUAACUGGCACUGCUCAGCUCUUUUGGGAGAGUGUUGAGGAUCUCCUUGAAAGGCUUUAUGCUCCCCCUGUUGGGAGCUGGGAUGAAAUGAAGCGCCGCCUUCAAGAAAAAUAUUUACCCCAAUCUUAUAGGGGUAACUUGCUGGAUCAAUGGAACGCACUUACACAAGGAAAUCGACCUGUGACUGAAUAUGUUGCUCAGUUUGACGAGUUUCGAAUGAAAUGUCAGGUUGUUGAGGAUGAAGUUAUGACUUUGAGUAGGUUUAGGCAAGGUUUAAGAGACGAACUUAGGCGCGAGCUUGUCCUUAGGGGUGUCACCACUCUCGACCACGCCUACUCUUUCGUUCGGGAUUAUGAAUUAGUGACUAGGACACCGUAUAGAAAUCGUAGUGACUCCCGCACUACAACCUCAUCUGCAUCCACGCCAUCCCCUAAGUCUAUUCUAGGUCCUCCUCCCUCUAAUACUACCCCUGCAUCGGAUAGCAAAGGUAGAGGUUCUGAGGUUUCAAGGACAUCUUCCCGUUUGCAAUGCUUCAACUGUAAGGGUUUUGGUCACAUUGCUUCUAAGUGCCCUAGUUGAGCCCUAGUCCUGGACGAAUGUGAGGAUAUAGUCGUCGAACCACUAGAGGAUCAGGUUUAUGAGCCUAAGUUAGAAGAGUUUGAAGACUUGGAGGACAGUGAGGAUACCUUCUUAGGUUGUAUUCAGGCUAGUCCCAUUAUCCCAUAUACACCCAGAGUCGGUGUCGUCCGUUGCACCCUCACCCAGCCGAAGGAUGCCGACGAUUGGCGCCGUCAUGCCAUCUUCCACACCUACAUCAAGAUUAAUAACAAGGGCUGUAAAGUUAUCGUGGAUAGUGGCAGCUGUAUUAAUGCGGUUUCGAAGGCUACUAUAUCCCGUCUAGGGUUGAAGCCAGUUCCUCACCCCCAACCUUAUAGUGUCUCUUGGGUUGACACCUCCUCUAUAGCUGUUAAGGAGCGUUGUUUAGUCCCUAUCCAGUUCCUGGAGUAUAAGGACCAUAUAUGGUGUGACGUUAUUUCGAUGGACGUCGGGCACAUCAUCUUAGGACGGCCUUGGCUAUUUGACCUAGAUGUAAUCAUAUAUGGUCGAUCCAAUUCCUGCUCUUUCGUGUUUAAUGGAAAGAAGAUUCACCUUAACCCACUACCCCCAAAGCCGGCUAGCUCACUAGAAGCGAAGAAAAGUGUGGAACAAAAGGGGUUGCAUAUCAUUAGUCCUACAGAGUUUGAGCGUACAAUUGUUGGUGACUCAAUUGUGUUCGCCUUAGUAGUCAUGGAGUUUUCAUCUAACUCCACAAGUGAGGCUACUGCGGAAGUCCAAUCGAUCCUUCAGGAGUUUCGAGAUGUCUUUCCGGAGGACCUACCUGAUCAUCUACCUCCGCUAAGAGAUAUUCAACAUGCCAUAGAUUUCGUCCCCAGUGCAUCCCUUCCAAAUUUGCCACAUUAUAGGAUGAAUCCUACCGAGCACGCUGAGCUCCAAAGGCAAGUGGAUGACCUUCUCAACAAAGGAUUCAUUCGUGAGAGUUUAAGCCCAUGUGCUGUCCCCGCCCUAUUGACGCCCAAAAAGGAUGGAUCUUGGAGAAUGUGUGUGGAUAGUCGCGCUAUCAAUAGGAUCACGGUGAAGUAUCGUUUUCCCAUUCCAAGGCUUGAUGAUAUGCUGGAUAUGAUGGUUGGCGCGACAAUCUUUUCAAAGAUCGAUCUAAAGAGUGGGUACCAUCAAAUUAGAAUUCGCCCAGGGGACGAGUGGAAGACCGCAUUUAAGACGAAGGAUGGCCUUUAUGAAUGGCUGGUCAUGCCUUUUGGGCUAANNNNNNNNNNNNNNNNNNNNNNNNNNNNNNNNNNNNNNNNNNNNNNNNNNNNNNNNNNNNNNNNNNNNNNNNNNNNNNNNNNNNNNNNNNNNNNNNNNNNNNNAGUUCACGCGGGAGGGUUAGCCGGUCACUUUGGGCGUGAUAAGACCAUUGAGGAGGUUGAACGCCAAUUCUAUUGGCCUAGUUUAAAGAGAGAUGUAGCUAAAAUUGUUAGUACAUGUAACACUUGUCAAUUGGCCAAACAGAAGAAGCAGAACACAGGCCUAUACAUUCCUCUCCCCGUCCCCAAUUGUCCUUGGCAAGACGUUAGUAUGGAUUUUGUGCUAAGCCUUCCACGCACCCCAAAGAAGCAUGAUUCUAUUUUCGUGGUUGUCGAUCGUUUCUCGAAAAUGGCUCACUUUAUCCCCUGUAGCAAAACAUCGGAUACGUCCAAGGUUGCCAUGUUAUUCUUUAAUGAGAUUGUCAAACUGUAUGGGCUUCCCAAGACCAUCGUGUCCGAUAGGGAUGUUCGCUUCACUAGCCAUUUUUGGAGGACUUUGUGGCAUAAGAUGGGUACCAAAUUAAAAUUUUCUACAGCCUACCACCGUCAAACUGACGGUCAGACCGAAGUUGUUAAUCGGAGUCUUGGUAACUUAUUACGUUGUCUGGUCCGGGAGAACCUUCGAAAUUGGGAUUUAAUCCUUCCUGUCGCUCAAAUCGCGUAUAAUAGCUCCGUAAAUCGUUCAUUAGGUAUGAGUCCAUUUGAAGCCGUUCACGGAUACAAGCCUAAGAAACCAUUAGAUCUCAUCCCUAUGUCCCCACAGGCUAGAGUGUCAGUAUCAGCCGAAGCAUUCGCACAACACCUUCAUGAUUUGCACAUUGAGAUCAAUAAACAACUUGAAGCUAGUAAUGCAAAUUAUAAACUACAAGCCGAUUUACAUAAACGACAUAUUGAGUUUAAUGUUGGGGAUUACGUUAUGGUUCGCAUUAGGCCAAAGCGGCGUCUACAUGGACCCGCCUCCGAAUUGCAGGCUCGUAGUGCUGGUCCUUUUAAAAUUUUAAAGCAAGUUGGUCCAAAUGCAUAUAUUGUUGACAUUCCAUCCCACAUUGGUUACCACCAUACUUUCAAUGUUGAAAACCUUGUAGCUUAUAAAGGCCAUUUCAUUCCCUCAGAUGAUCCCCUGUUACCUCCUUUUGUGGACCUUGAUCCUAAUUCUUUGGCCCCCUCUAACCCACUACCACCUCUCACAGCACACACAGAUAAAAUUGAUGCUCUUUUAGAUGAAGAAACUGUGUUCACUAAUGAUGGAGAGGUUCAGCGCUUCCUUGUUCGUUGGGUUGGUCACCCAAAUUCUGAUUGUGCAUGGAUCUCCAGGGAGACGCUACAGCAUUUGGAUCCAAAUUUGCUAGAGCUUUAUCGGAGUCAGCAGGAUCUUCCUUGGCCCAGAUCGCCUCCCGUCCACCCGAGGGGAGUUGAUGAGGACACCAGGUUCAGACCGCCACUGACGCAUUUCUACCGACGCCGGAAGAAACUUGCCCAACCACUCAGCUUAUGGUUGGGAGAUUGACGAGAAUCUACGAUGAUAUAUCCACUCGACAGAGUCGAGUUUUCUCCCACCCCGGGCGAGUUGAUGAGGACAUCCUUAUAGUUGGACUUUUAUUAUUGUUUCAGUAUUUUAGUUGGACUUUUAUUAUUGUUUCAGUUGGACUUUUAUUUAGGUUUACGUAUUUUAAUUAGGACUUAAACAAUGGGCUUGGCCCUAUAUUUCUAGGUUUUCAUUAUUUAAACCUAUCAUUGGUUUGUAAUUUCUCAGUUGAUGAAUUGAUUAAGAAUUAUAAAGUUGGCUUGGCCGUUUUCUCUCCUCCUCCCCGUUUCUGCCUUCUUCUUCUCUUCUCCUCCCCCUUCCCUUCUUGUUAUUUACUGAUUUAUUAAUCUCCCUACAUCAUAAACACAACUGAAAAUGUUUAUUUGUUGAAAAACAUUAAGUAGUCACUUAAGCUUAUCUUCUGAUUUCUUUAAUAGAAGUGUGGGAGACAUUGUAUAUCUUAUUGUCUGUGGGAAUGAAAUGUUUAGUUUUCUUAUGAUUUCUCUUUUCUAGCUUUCUUGCUGGUAAAGUAGGAAAAAAACGUAGUACAAAUAUUGGCAAGAACCAGAACUGGAAAAGCUUAUUCAAAUUCUCAAUUUUCGUGAAUGGCAGCGAGACAUCACCUGCUCAAAUUCCAUAUCCUCUCUCUCUCUCUCUCUCUCUCUCUCUCUCUCAUGCUAUGCAGAUGAACUUCAAUAUUUUUGGACAUUGUAUUCAUGAAAAAAAUUUCAUUACUCUUACCAUCAAUUGUAAAGUCUGGCUUCACUUCUGCAUUUUCUUUGAUAUUUUGUUUCUGAGAUUGGGGCAAGGUAAGCUAUUUCCAAUAACACAAGAUCCGGUGUUUCUUUUCUUCUUUUUAGCACAUGUAUACUAGCACUAAACAAGUUUCUGCCAUCUCUGUAUAUUUGCUUGUCCUCGUAUGCAUACAUAUAUGAUUUUUAUUUCCUUUAGCUCAUUGUUUAUAUUUGACAGUUCUUUUAUCUAUUUAUUUUUUUAUUUCCGGUUCCCAUUUUCCUCGUACUUGAAAUCAGUAAUAGUAAAUGCUGUAAUCAAGUCUGCAAUUUUGCAUAAACUGAAAUUCACCUCUUUUUAGUUUUCUUCUCAUAAGAAGAUAUCUAUUCAGAAGACAAGAUAUACUGAGGUGACUACUGCUUAUUACCGCUAAAUUUGUGGUCAGCUAAAUGAGUCCUUUCCAUUGCAACAUUUACUAGAUGAUCUUUAGCGACCACGACAG
rnacentral:lncRNA from 1 species